GAUUGAACUAUAGAAGAGGUCCUCCGAGCGAUGGGCCUAGACACCGCCUUUUCUCCAGACGGAGAGGAGAAGCUCACAGAAACCUUGAGCCAAGCCGAACCAAAUCACACGGGUACAGGACAGAGCCAACAGAGAAAGGAAGAGGCCGCGGCGCAAGUCCAUCCUCGCCGGCGGAGGCAAGAUCAGAUCUGACCCAGAUCUGCUCUGAUAGACCGGUA
rnacentral:lncRNA from 1 species